ensembl:lncRNA
UUCCGAUUGGGCAGGAGGCUUACCCCCGCAGCGGUCUAUUAAGCCUAUUGGUCGAGCCCGCUUUGGGGGCGGGGCUUGCGCGCUCCCCGCCCUCGCCUGCGCCGCGGCGCAAGGGGCGGGGCGCGCCGCCGCCGUCCGUGUUUCCGCCGCCGCCGGCUCCUGCGCGUUGGGCGGGGGAGGAGUCGGAGGCGGAGAAGAAGGCGGCGGCGGCGGCGGGUGGAGGACCGAGCGCCGUCCUCGCUCCGGAGCCGCUUCUCAGCUCGUGAUUGCAUGAUUAAAAAACUUUCAAAGGCAUUUAUUUAAAAAAACACUUUGAAGACACCCAUAAUAUGAAGAUAAAAAGACUGAGUAAGUA